rnacentral:lncRNA from 1 species
UGUGCUUUCAAGUUAGCGUUACAACUUUCCAAACUCUGAAAAAUCUUUGUGCUUUGCCUUAAGUCUGGAGUUUUUCACUGAUGCAAUUACACUAUGACCAGAAUUUCUGAAGUUUUUGGUCUUUCUGUAAUAGAUAUGAAAUAGCUGCUAAAACAGUGAGUAUCGUUUGUAUUUAAAGGAAGAAGGAGAAAAAAAGGACAAAAAGUCAGUAAUU